rnacentral:rRNA from 1 species
UAAGGAAUAUUGGACAAUGGAGGCAACUCUGAUCCAGCCAUGCCGCGUGGAGGAAUAAGGCCCUAUGGGUUGUAAACUUCUUUUAGACGGGACAAAACCCCUUUACGUGUAAAGGGUUGAUGGUACUGUCAGAAUAAGCAUCGGCUAACUUCGUGCCAGCAGCCGCGGUAAUACGAAGGAUGCAAGCGUUAUCCGGAAUUAUUGGGUUUAAAGGGCGCGUAGGCGGACUAAUAAGUCAGUGGUGAAAGCCUGCAGCUUAACUGCAGAAUUGCCAUUGAUACUGUUAGUCUUGGGUACAGUUGAGGUAGGCGGAAUGUGUCAUGUAGCGGUGAAAUGCUUAGAUAUGACACAGAACACCGAUUGCGAAGGCAGCUUGCUAAGCUGUAACUGACGCUGAGGCACGAAAGCGUGGGGAGCAAACA